GGCAUGUGGCUUAAUGGUAAAGUGCUCGCCUGGCAUGUGUGAAGUCCAGGCUUCCAUCCCCAGCACCA
rnacentral:tRNA from 1 species